GCCACCCAGCUACUUAAUGACAUCAUUUGGUAGUUGCUGUUCCCACAGAAAGGCUGGGGAACUUGGAUACGUACCCCUUCUCACAUCACAGCAACAGUAUGAGAAACUCAAGCUCUCUUCAGCCAUGAGUGGGCAGACAGGCCCUGGUGAUAAAGGAUCUGCCAGCCACCAUGAUACUUCCUCUGAGUCACCAGCUCUCAGGAUCCACUCCGUGUUUUCAAUGAAUGAGGGAAGACAGAAUAACAAUUUUGUACCCAAUAUAAUCUGCACAUGUGAGCCUCUUACUUCCACAGAGCCAGAAACUAAGAGCUGGUAGCUCUUGGGGCACAAUUCCUGAAUAAUAAAAGAGCAUUUCGAGGUCUGGGUAUUUCCCAUGCUGCAGAAUUCUACAUGGCUGGGCAUUGUGGUGCGCCGCUGAAAUCCUAGCACUUGGAAGGCUGAGGCGGAAGGAUCAUGAGUUCAAGACCACCCAGGACUACAUGCUCGUAGUAUUUGCUCUACCACAUUCUGGACCUUUUGAAGAGACAGCUGUGGACAUGCUAUAAAGGAUGACUGUUUUCACCAGCACUGUAUUCACUUCGCCCUCUAAGGCUGAUAAACCCAGAGCCAUUGCUUACAUUCCAAAGGAUGAUAAACCCAUUGACCUUCCUCUCUCUUCCGGAGUGGAUGGAUCUGUGUGGAGGACAAAGGUCUCUCCCCACAUUG